rnacentral:sRNA from 1 species
AGCCUCAAGAUUGGCAGCAUCAGCCUGGA